GAUUUUUGAAUUCAGAUUCAGCCGUCUCUCAACUCUCACGUCUCCACGCCCUACCGUCUGCCUCCGGCGACCGGUGCCCCGUCCCACCGGCCAUCGGAGCCGGUGGAAUCUCCAGCGCUGCCGCGCCCAUCUCCCUCUGCACCCUCUUUUCUCUCUCUCUCACCUCUCUCCAGCGCCGCCGCGCCCGUCUGCCAGAAUCUUGCCACCCUCGACCUCUCCCAGAAUCUGCUCGUGAGCCCCCUCACGCCCUCCCUCUCCGAAGUCCGACCUCCCUUUCCUCAGGUAAGAAAAGGAAGAAGCAGACGCAAGUGACACAAUUCUCACACCCAAUUCAUUUAGAUAUUUCUUGUUCUUGAUUUUAAUUCAAGUUUUUUAAUUUUAUUCUUUUACUUUUGGUGAUUCGAAUCUAUUUGGCAACAUAUAUCUCUAGUUAUUUGCCUCCUCUUGAUUGAGUCUUCAGGAACUGGGUAGCAGUUUGCUCCAAAUGCUUCACAAAUUUUGUAGAUUUUUUCCUUGCUUGCUGGCCUGAGAAGAAUACCAUAAAAACUCUGUUCUCAACCUGCAGAUGCGGAGGAACAUAUCAGUAUUGAAAACAUGUAAAUAUGUAAUGCCUCAUCAACAAAGUGAUCCCGAUUCCCGACACUGCAAAAGUGCAUAAAUGAUUUUAAUUCUAAAAUAAUAGAACCAAUUAGUUUAGAAUACAUGUGCUUGGUCAUGGGAAAUAGAUAGUACAUCUUUUAACUCUUGGAGUGGUACUUCAGCUUCUUCUGAUUUGCUAACUAAUUGAACUCAGUAUUUAAAUAAGAAAAGGUAGAUACUAUUGUGAAGUUUUCAGCUUCAUCUACAUAGUUCUUUGGUGCUGGCAGAUGAUAUAUAUUGUGCAGAUGAUAUAUUAUGACUGGACUAAAACAAUAAUAUCAUCCCAUUGAUCAAAUAUGAUUUCAGUGGGUUUAUGAAAUAUCACUCUCUUAGGCUAAACAAAUCUUCAAUUGAAAUAAAGUUCAUCAAGGAUAAAAAACUUACGUUAACCUGCACUCCCACUCGCUCACCUGCCUAGGAUGGCUUCGUUCCUAUAUAGUAUAAGGCAGACGUACAUGAUAUUGAUCUAUAUCACUUCUCAGGUGAUUAGGCGUAUUUAUACGCAUAUAUUUUGGGGAUUUUAGUAUGAUCUCUAGGCUUAAAUGUUGAUAUUUAUCAUAUUUUAGUAUGAAUGUUGAAUUCUGGUCUUACGUGUAUUCUUGAUGGUAUUUGAUAGAUUUUGGAGAAUGGAGCUCAAGUUUAGAAGAUAUUCGAAGGAAUUAAAAUUCGUGAAGAAAAGCUAAUCCAUAGAAGAUAUUCGAAGGAAUUAAAAUUUGUGAAGAAAAGCUAAUCCACCCCUACAGAAGUUCACGGAAAUUGAAGAUUGAUGGAGAGUUUCUAGGGCUAAGAGCAUCCACAUUGGGAUUACAUGAUAGCCUACAUGAUAGCUUACUUGAUGAGGGGGGACCACAUUGUAUAAAGAGGCUGCAUUGGGAUUACAUGAUAGCCUACAUGUAUUUUUUAGUUUUGAUUUUUAUGCUUUUCACUU
rnacentral:lncRNA from 1 species